ACAACAGCAAUUUCAAAUCCACUCUGAAAAAAUAAUAUAAUAUACUAAAAUAAUAAUAUAAAAAAAUAUUUAUUUCAUUACGUUUUAUUUUUAUUAUUUUAUUAUUUCCAUUCUACAUGACUUUACCGAAAGAACCAAGAAGAUUGGUCUUUUUGUUACCAGGGGAGAUGUUGCAUGCCAGUCACUCGACUCAUCGCAAACACAGCACACCAAACUCCUGCUGCCCUUCCUGAUGUGCCACGAGUGUGGAUAUGUCUGGUCCCAGCAACUCGACAUGAGCGAGCGUCAGCGUGGUAUUUAUCAAGCGAAUCCUGACUCGAAGCCUCACGCCAGCCCAACAUCUGGAACGUAUUCUUUAUGAAUACAAAAUUGCGGCCGAGUUAUUAUUUUAUUUCUCUGUGUUUUGUUUUGGAAUAUUCAGUGAUGGGAGUUAGGUAAUUCAUUCUCCAUGGAGUAGAUAUGGCCGAGAUAUUACUCAAUUAAAUAAUAACCACGGUUACUAUACCAUUUCCUCCAUGUCCUGAUUUCAAUUAUAGUUGUGAUGAAAAGUUACAGUAAUAGAAUUAACUGAUGUAUCCACGGGAAUCCUCAAUCGCAAUGUACAACCAGGGCCGGAUGAAGGCACGGGGCUUUAGGGCAAAGCUCGCAACCGGGUACCCGAUACCCGUACCCUACCCGAUACCCGGCUACCCGUACCCGGCCGGGUACGGGUACCCGUUUGCGACCCUGGUGCGGCCGAGUACGGGUACGGGUAGACCGUGAGUCACUGGUGAGUAACCGUUUGUCACUCAUUUCCCAACGUCUUGUCUCUUCUCACAAUUCAAGUUCCUAGAAUCAACCCACCCGUGCCUGCAACAUGGCUUCAUCCCAGAGGUCGCAAUCAGGUACCCAAUACCCGUACCCUACCCAUACCCGGCCGGGUACGGGUAGGGUACGGGUACGGGUACCCGUUUGCGACCCUGGUGCGGCUGGGUACGGGUACGGGUAAGGAAUCAAAACCCGUUUGCGACCUCUGGUGAAAAGUUAUUUUUCAUUUGUGAAUGCCGAAUUUCAUUUGUUGUUUGCCUUGUAAAAAUACAUUUUAUUUCUCUUUAACUUAGUUUUCCUUUUGAAAAUAUUACUGGGGGCCUCACAGUACCUGUAGCCCAGGGGCCUACACAAUCUUAACCCGGCCCUGUGUACAGCGGAUACCAUUACCCAGCAGGCUUAUCGUCUGCUCACCUAUGUGAUGGUGGUCACAGGGUAUUGCUGACAGUCAGUGCAGUGGUCACACCUGUCAUCCAGCAUUUCGGCGGUGCGUUUGGUAUAUUGUGGUGAUACCGUGCAUGUGACAGCCACCUGCAGGGAUAUUUUGGGUGCCUAGCGCAUCAGCAGAAUAAGUAGGUCACUGACCUUCCCAUACAGAUGUUCUAUCAAGUGCCAUCCCCGACACAUGCGUGGAGGUUUCUCCAUUCACUUCAGUUUCUUCGCACACGGAAACAAAAUUCUCAAAAGGGAGCCGAUCAAAACAUCCGAAGCAGGACCAUACUGAAAAUGUCUUGAGGCUUGCUUGAGGCUUUCCUUAGUAAGUAGAAGGCCAUUAUUUAUAGAAAUUAUUAAUUUCCUCCAUACAAAUGCUUGCCUGGGGUGUAUUGCUCCUCCUACACUGUGCUGCCACAGAAGGCCUCUGACCCUGCAACAGUGAGCCAGUUCUUGCCGUACGAAUGACGAUGCCAUGCUUAUCUCUUGUACGUCGCUGUUAUCGUGAUGAUUUCUGUUUGCUGUUGUUGUUGUUGAUGGUGGCGGGCGGGCGGCGGUGACGGCGGUGGCGGCACGGGGUUGUGUGGUGCUGGGAGGCGAGGGGAGGCGGGCGGCCAUACCUGCAGGAGAAAGCGAGGGCUCUCCGGCAUGAAGGUAUCUCAGAGAGGUGAACGGCUGAGUUGAUCGUGGCUGGGACUCAAAAGGUGCAACACCAGGAUCGUGAAAAUGUACCGAUGAAGCGACAGAGGAAUCGGCAGAAGAGGAAGGCCCCAUAGCCCUGCACGAAGGAGGAGAGGCAGGAGAAGAAGCCGUUGAACGAGAGGGACACGAGGAGGAUCUGCCUCCGGCCCAUGUGGUCGGCCAGGCCGCCCCAGAGCAGCGCCCCGAUCAUCAUCCCCACGUGCGUGACGUCAUUUAUGGACGGCCCCAUAGUGAAGUGCGCGCACCACUGCACCGCCACUCCGCGCAAACGCACUUUGAAUCGUACAAAUCUACACCGGUACGUGCAACAUAUCACAUACCCACCCACACAUACCCACACAAACCGCACAGCACGUGCACACCAAUCACCACAUUCCCAUGUAAUGCAUGAAUGCACGCGAUUUGCAUAUUUACACACACACACACUGUAUAUGCAUAAGCUGACAAUCUACUUGUCAGUACUUCUCUCUCAAUUUAGAUACGAUCGUAGCUAUUCUGGCAAGGGUCAAACGUUAUGUUUUAAUUACUCGGUUAUUACCCAGUGACCCAAGCCCUAACGUCACCGGAUAAGGGGCCCUCACAUGAAUUUGGAAACUCACAACUCCACGUUAGUACAAAGCUGUGAACCCUACUGAGGCUGGCUUACCGAU